CCGGCGAACGGGUGCGUAACACGUGAGCGACCUGCCGAUCUGCGGGGGAUAGCCGGCCCAACGGCCGGGUAAUACCGCAUACGCUCUUUUGGGGGCAUCCCUGAUUGAGGAAACUUCCGGGGCGGAUCGAGGGGCUCGCGGCCUAUCAGCUAGUUGGGGGGGUAACGGCCUCCCAAGGCGACGACGGGUAGCUGGUCUGAGAGGAUGGCCAGCCACAUUGGGACUGAGAGACGGCCCAG
rnacentral:rRNA from 1 species